ACACAGGAAAGGGCCCUGACAAGAGGAUGGGACUGCAGUUGUGGCUGCCAGGGCCCCGGCCAGGGUGAAAACAAGGAACAUUCCAGAGAAGAUCACAAGGAUGCGAAUAAAAUCGGAGCUGCACAGGGAUCUUUGGGCUGUAAUAGGAGGGGACACACAGGGGUUAGGGGAGGGUCUAGCCCUUGGCUCCCUCAGCCCAGCCCUCCUGUCACCUUGCCUCUCCCCUUUCCCCCACCUUAUUCUAUCCCACCCGCCACCGUUGGCCAACUCCUCUCCUAAACAGUGGACUCUGCUUUUUCCCCUCCUCUUAUCCCUAAUCCUAGGAGCUUUCUGUCUGGCUUCCCUCCUGGCCCCUCGUGUAUGCAUUCUCUCUAGCGGUGGGGAUUAAGGAGAAAACUCACGUGGCCAGUGGGUAGAGAGAGUCCGGGCAGGCAGCUGCCUGAAGUCAGCCAGAGUCUGCAUGUGCCCAGCUGUCCUGGCCUCCAGCAUCUCUGGAAAAACAGAGACAGAAUGAGUAGCAGCAGGGGACCCCAUAGGGCACAUCUGAAGGCCUGAGAGGUGCUGGAUGGGAUGGGAAGGCAGAAACAGGCUGACCUUAUCUAGGGGUAGGAGUGGGGAGUACUGGUUGGGGUAUCACCGCUACCCCACGUGAUGGCACAGAGAGUUGCCUGGAACUUACCACUGACAUAAGGUUGGAGUGCAGUGGCACGAUCUCGGCUCAGUGCAACCUCCGCCUCCUGAGUUCAAGUGAUUCUCCUGCCUCAGCCUCCCUAGUAGCUGGGAUUACAGGACAAGGAGAGGGACAAAUUCCUUCUUGGCAUCCUUAUGGCCCUGUGACCUGCUAAUGAAUGCUGACUCUGAGUUGCUACUAGAAUUUGGUUUCCUUGUGGCUUCCCAGGAAUUGUGAGCCAUGUUGGAUAAGGACCUGCAAGGGAAGAAUGAGGAAGCCUGGGACAGUGCAGGAGGGGAGAGCACUGGUGGUAGAGAGGAGUGAUGACAAGGGUCUCCGCCAAAAGGGAAAUGGAGGGGUUAAAGAAGCUGCUGGGGAGGGUUAAAAACAAUGUGUUCUCACUCGUAGGUGGGAAUUGAACAAUGAGAACACUUGGACACAGGAAGGGGAACAUCACACACUGGGGCCUGUCGUGGGGUGUGGGGAGGGAGGAGGGAUAGCAUUAGGAGAUAUACCUAAUGUAAAUGAUGAGUUAAUGGGUGCAGCACACCAACAUGGCACAUGUAUACCUAUGUAACAAACCUGCACAUUGUGUACAUGUACCCUAGAACUUAAAGUAUAAUUAAAAAACAAAACAAAACAAAACAAAAACAAUGAGGUGCUAUUGUUUUAGUGGUGAGUAUCCGGAGACCUGGGAGUUCUAUUUACCAGGUAUAACCUGGGCUCAAAAUUCCAGGCUGACUUCAGGCAUGUCCUCAUCUCAUAGAUGCCAGCACUAAGGCCCAGAGAGGGCCGAGCUCAUUCAGCCCACCCAUCUUCUCACCCCUGACUGCAUUUCCCGGGGGUCCUUCUGCAGCCAGGUGCUGCUGUGGUACUUUGGGAUCUAUUGGCUGAGCUCCCAGAGAAGGGUCAUGGAUUGGGCUAGUUUGGAACAAGUGAAGGGACUGAAGAUGGGCUCAGUAUGGGGCGAAGACCUUCAGGAAGGGUCUGCAGAGUGAGUAGGGGGGUUUUGACUAGGAAAAGUUCCAACCCUGCCGGGGCCGCUGUCAAGAGAAAAGCAUCUAUUACAGUUACAUUUUUAAGUUAAGUAGACUGAAGAAUAUUUCUUGUGUAUUAAAGACGUUCCUUUUUGGUUGAUUUGCAAUGGAAAAGCUUUUGUUUUCUUUUUUUUUUUGGAAACAGGGUCUCACUCUGCUCACUCUGUCUCCCAAGCUGGAGUGCAGUGGUACAGUCACGGCUCACUGCAGCCUCCACUUCCUGGACUCAAGUGAUCUUCUCACUUCAGCCUUCUGAGUAGCUGGGACUACAGCCCCCUCUGCAGCUCUUCAUGGGGGUCCACUCAAGUCAGAAGCCACAUUUGGGUGUGAUUCAGAGAGCUGUUUAUGCAAAACCAGCUUUGUCACCAUCAGGCAAGGCACCUGAAUUCCCACCGCAGAGAGUGUUGUGGCCGUGAGGACUUUUCUGUCACCAGCCAUUUCCAGGUUGUAGACCCAGUGUAAUCACAAGCAUCCUUGUAAGUGGCAAAGAGGCAGAGGAGACAGCGCCAGAGAGGCAGCUGCAUGAGAAGGAUCAAGAUGUUGCUGACUUUGAAGUUGGAAGAAGAAGGCCAUGAGCCUCAGUAUGUGGGCGGCUUCUAGAAGCUGGAAGGGGCAAGGAGAUGGAUUUGACCCUUCAGCCUCCAGGGGCAGCUGUACCUGCCAUCACUGAUUGUAGCCUGGUGAGGCCUGUUUUAGACUUCUGACCUGUAGAGCUGUAACAUAAUACAUUUGGGUUGUUUUCAACCACUAAGUUUGUGGUAAUUUGUUGUAGCAGCUGUAGAAAAUGAAUACAUAUGAAUCCUCUGGCAUUUGUUUGAGAUUUGCUCUAUGGCCUAGUAUG
ensembl:lncRNA CD27-AS1 CD27 antisense RNA 1